UGAGAGGGCAAUAGUACAGCACAAGUCAAGCAUGGGGGCUUUGGCAGAACUUAUUGAGCAAAAAUUUUUCCAGAGUCAAUGUGAAGUUCACUGGACUGAGUUCCCAGAAUUGACCAUUUCUCUUUUUUUUCCAUCUGUUUUUCUCUAUUCCUCCAUCAUGCUUUGGCUCUCCACUUUUUCUAAGACCUCUAUAACUGUUCAUGUAAGCACGUUUGUUCAUUUCCCCUAUUCUACAACCAUCCCCUUUUUGUGCAUUUUGCUUGAAAUGUAACUUUAAAAAUAGUUUCUUCUCCCAAGUUUGCAGAGCUUGGCCUAUUCUGGACUUUUAACUUUCCAGAAUUUUUUUUUUUCUUUGACAGGGUCUCACUCUGUCACCCAGGCAGGAGCGCAGUGGCGAAAUCUUUCCUCACUGCAACCCGGGCUCAAGCAAUUUUUUCACCUCAGCCUCCCCAGUAGCUGGAACUACUACAGGCACAUGCCACCAUAUCCACUUGAUUUUUGUGUUUUUUAUAGAGAUGGGGUUUUGCCACAUUGCCCAGGCUGGUUUGGAACUCCUGGGCUCAAACAAUCUGCCCCCCUUAGGCUCCCCAGAAACUAUUCUUAAAAGUGUUAGCAAAAAAAAAAAAAAAAAGUGUAGGCCAAGCACAGUGGCUCCUGCCUGGGCAAUACAGCAAGACCCUUUUCUGCACAAAAAGGAAAAAAGAAAGACACAAAAAAAGUGGUAGCUAUUCAUUCUUACAUGCAUACCCCUUCUCCAUCAGCUAUUUUUUUCCUGCAAGUCCCUUUAAAAGUAGAGGUAUUCGGAAACCAUAACCCAUCAUAUUUUUGGCUGCUCAUGGUAGUCUCAGAAUUUAAUUUCUGAAAAGAUCCUAUCCCUUUUGAGCUAACUUACUUAUUAAGACUCCCUGGAAUCUUCUCUAAUACUUCUUUGACAUUUUAGAAAUCUGAACGUCUAAAGUUGAGUUCACACGUUUCUUCAUACCCAACAUUGUCUGCCUUGAUUAUCACAAAUUAUUAUGCUUUGUCUAAAGUUUUGAUCUGACUUAAAUCCAAAGCAACACAUCCCUUUAUGGCCUCCCCUACGUCUUGCGAGAUGAAAUGGACAACAGGAGAAAGUGAAAAUACAUGAGAUGAUUUAUUUUGAAUGAGUUAAGAUUUCCAAUAGCUGUCUGCAUAAUUGGAAAACCCCAAAAAAACUUUCUCUUACCUUUUGGAUACAUGGUUUUGUGAAUUAUAUUGGGAAAAUCUACAUAUUAUAGGCCUGGGUAUCAGGAAACACAUGGCACAUUUAAAGGCUAAUUGAAGAGAAUUUAAUGAAGGAAUAAAGGUGUUAAGGAAAACAAACAAGGGAUAGUUAGACAUCCAGGGACUAGCAACAGCUGGAGUUUUUACCAUCUCUAGGCCUGAAGGGAGAAGAGGAUGGAGGUGUUAUCAGAACCCAGGGAGAGGUUUAUUAUUAACAAUUUGCCAGGGGCCGGACGCGGUGGCUCACGCCUGUAAUCCCAGCACUUUGGGAGGCCAAGACGGGUGGAUCACCUGAGGUCAGGAGUUCAAGACCAGCCUGUU
rnacentral:lncRNA from 10 species